rnacentral:rRNA from 1 species
AUUGAACGCUGGCGGCAUGCUUUACACAUGCAAGUCGAACGGUAACAGGCCGCAAGGUGCUGACGAGUGGCGAACGGGUGAGUAAUGCAUCGGAACGUGCCCAGUCGUGGGGGAUAACGCAGCGAAAGCUGCGCUAAUACCGCAUACGAUCUAUGGAUGAAAGCGGGGGACCGUAAGGCCUCGCGCGAUUGGAGCGGCCGAUGUCAGAUUAGGUAGUUGGGGGGGUAAAGGCUGACCAAGCCGACGAUCUGUAGCUGGUCUGGAAGGACGACCAGCACCACUGGGACUGAGACACGGCCCAGACUCCUACGGGAGGCAGCAGUGGGGAAUUUUGGACAAUGGGGGCAACCCUGAUCCAGCAAUGCCGCGUGCAGGAAGAAGGCCUUCGGGUUGUAAACUGCUUUUGUACGGAACGAAACGGCUCUGGUUAAUACCUGGGGCUAAUGACGGUACCGUAAGAAUAAGCACCGGCUAACUACGUGCCAGCAGCCGCAGUAAGAC